rnacentral:rRNA from 1 species
UACAGAGGUGGCAAGCGUUGUUCGGAAUUACUGGGCGUAAAGGGCGCGUAGGCGGCCUUGUAAGUCCUGUGUGAAAUCCCCCGGCUCAACUGGGGAACUGCACAGGAGACUGCUUGGCUUGAGUUCGGGAGAGGGAAGCGGAAUUCCGGGUGUAGCGGUGAAAUGCGUAGAUAUCCGGAGGAACACCGGUGGCGAAGGCGGGUCUCUGGGCCGAUACUGACGCUGAGGAGCGAAAGCGUGGGGAGCGAACAGG